GUGGUUAUACCAAUUGCCCACCUUUGGACUUACCUCUGUGAGCAUUCUCUGGAUAUCCACAGAGCUUAAAGAAAGAGAAACUAGCCCUCCACAAAACCUUUGCUGGCUUCUACAGAUUGUAUAAUUCCCUGUCUAUCUUGGGUAUUUCUAGUAUGUCCACUGCUGUAGUGGCUAGGCCCUUUUAUCAUUUUCUACCAUAUCUCUUUAUAUUUCUACAGCAUCCAUCGCUGCAGUAAAGAACUUGUUACAUAGUCAAGAGAGAUGAGAACACUUUCCAAAGUCCCCCCUUCUCUGUGAAACUGUCUUGGGGACUAAUCUCUGCCCAUGUCAGCACUUAACAUCGUGAUUGUCCAUCCCUUCCUAUUAUUUCUAGUUUAGCCAGUGUGUGUGUCUCUUCAGAUUAAUAUCGCACCUGGUGCUUGGUAAGAAUGAGUCAGUGAGGUGUAUGAAUAAAACACAGCCUCUAUUAUUACCUCUUUCCACGAACCAAUUAUACAGUCUCCGGCUGUGAUGCUUUAUCAUGGAUUAAACGAGAGGAACAGUCUGGUGCUGAGAAUCAGGACCACAUUGGGGAAGGAGAGCUCUGUACAGGCCCCAGUGCUGGACGCCCAGCUUCUGCACGCAACGCUUCAUGCCGGAGGGACGUUGAGGAAGAGCCAAGUGUGCGGGAUAUGCAGGUGUUGGAGGGGAGGCGAAUCCAUACAGAGUUCUGCACAGGUGAGAUGGAUUGUAAUAACUUUGAUAGGCUGUGAAAUAACAGCUGGAAAUCCUCUUUUCCUCAAAUCAAGGAGACGAUUUGCAAUCUCAACACUAUCCAAAGGGAACUAUUACAAGAGAAAUGUUGUUUCCUAAGCUUGACAGUAGCAUGAUGUAGCUGAGUUAACAUUAGCCGAAUCUUCUCUUAUGCAUUACCCAUAGUUCUUAGCUCAACCUCUGAGCCUAGCAUUGCAUUAACACAAGAUUAUUUUUUUUUGCAUUUAAUUUUUUUCGUCUCUCUUUUCUUUUAAAAGGACAGAAAAGAGGAAAAAAAUAGGGGAGGAGGGAGAAGCUACCUG
rnacentral:lncRNA from 1 species